rnacentral:rRNA from 1 species
AGUGAACGCUGGCGAUAGGCCUAACACAUGCAAGUCGAACGGCAGCACAGUAAGAGCUUGCUCUUACGGGUGGCGAGUGGCGGACGGGUGAGGAAUACAUCGGAAUCUACUUUUUCGUGGGGGAUAACGUAGGGAAACUUACGCUAAUACCGCAUACGACCUACGGGUGAAAGCAGGGGAUCUUCGGACCUUGCGCGAUUGAAUGAGCCGAUGUCGGAUUAGCUAGUUGGCGGGGUAAAGGCCCACCAAGGCGACGAUCCGUAGCUGGUCUGAGAGGAUGAUCAGCCACACUGGAACUGAGACACGGUCCAGACUCCUACGGGAGGCAGCGGUGGGGAAUAUUGGACAAUGGGCGCAAGCCUGAUCCAGCCAUACCGCGUGGGUGAAGAAGGCCUUCGGGUUGUAAAGCCCUUUUGUUGGGAAAGAAAAGCAGCAGGUUAAUACCCCGCUGUUCUGACGGUACCCAAAGAAUAAGCACCGGCUAACUUCGUG